GAUAAAGUUGAAGUCGUGUUGUAUUCGAUGAACUUGAGAAACAAAGACAAACUUGUGGCCAAAGGAACUUUAGAGAGUAAAGAGAAAACAUAUGUGGUUGGAGGAAACAUGCUUGGAGUGCAAUAUGUUGCAGUUCGUGUUCGCGGCUGUACAUAUCUAGGAGAUGAGAAACUAGUUAGACCAUAUGAAAAAAUCCAAACAGUAAGGGAUGCUAUGGGUUCUGUUAUUGCUUGGCCUCGCUCACAUGUAAAAAUAGUUAAGCCAACCCCUCCAGCACAACCACAGAGCAUUGGGCGGUGA
rnacentral:rRNA from 1 species